rnacentral:rRNA from 1 species
AGGAUAAACGCUGGCGGCGUGCCUAAAACAUGCAAGUCGAACGGACCCUUCGGGGUUAGUGGCGAACGGCUGAGUAACACGUGGGUGACCUGCCUUCGAACGGGGGAUAACUGCCCGAAAGGGUGGCUAAUACCGCAGAUGUCGCAUCUUCGUUGAUGUGACUGAACCGAUUCAGGGUUCGGAGAGGGGCCUGCGUCCGAUUAGCUAGCUGGUGGGGUAAAGGCCUACCAGGGCGACGAUCGGUAGCUGGUCUGAGAGGAUGAUCAGCCAGACUGGGACUGCGAGACGGCCCAGACUCCUACGGGAGGCAGCAGUUAGGAAUUUGGGCAAUGGGCGAAAGCCUGACCCAGCAACGCCGCGUGGGCGAAGAAGGCCUUCGGGUCGUAAAGCCCUUUCCAGGGAGAUAGUGACGGUACCUGGAAUCAGCCCCGGCUAACUACGUGCCAGCAGCCGC